UAGGGAAUCUUCCGCAAUGGGCGAAAGCCUGACGGAGCAACGCCGCGUGAGUGAUGAAGGUCUUCGGAUCGUAAAACUCUGUUAUUAGGGAAGAACAAAUGUGUAAGUAACUAUGCACGUCUUGACGGUACCUAAUCAGAAAGCCACGGCUAACUACGUGCCAGCAGCCGCGGUAAUACGUAGGUGGCAAGCGUUAUCCGGAAUUAUUGGGCGUAAAGCGCGCGUAGGCGGUUUUUUAAGUCUGAUGUGAAAGCCCACGGCUCAACCGGGGGGGGUCAUUGGAAACUGGAAAACUUGAGUGCAGAAGAGGAAAGUGGAAUUCCAUGUGUAGCGGUGAAAUGCGCAAAGAUAUGGAGGAACACCAGUGGCGAAGGCGACUUUCUGGUCUGUAACUGACGCUGAUGUGCGAAAGCGUGGGGAUCAAACAGG
rnacentral:rRNA from 1 species